CCAUCCUGAACUCUGCUUCCCCCAGGAGACUGUUCUUCCUUUGGCUCUUACACCAUCCUGGACUCUGCUUCCCCCAGGAGACUGUUCUUCAUUUGGCUCUUACACCAUCCUGGACUCUGCUUCCCCCAGGAGACUGUUCUUCCUUUGGCUCUUACACCAUCCUGGACUCUGCUUCCCCCAGGAGACUGUUCUUCCUUUGGCUCUCACACCAUACUGGACUCUGCUUCCCACCUGAUCCUCCCCCAGGAGACUGUGCAGGCGAUGUGAGGAAUAGUUACUGUUUGGAGACGGAGGGAUUAGAGAGAUGUCUGCAACACAUUGAGGAUGCAGUAUUCAAACCCUGGCCACUGACAGACAUCCGAGUGUGAGGGUGACCUUGAGGGACUCACCUGCUGAUAUCUGGCAGGAAUGAGUAUGACCUGUGACCUGGUGGUCGUCGGGAAGCCAGAGGACCAUCCCAGCAGACUCUCCUGACUGCCCAAAGAGAGAGAGUGCCCAUCACUUUGGGGCGGUGGGCUGGUGUUCCGAAAAUGGAUAAGGAGCCAUUCAACAGCGAAUUCAAAGAUGCACACAUCUAUAAAGACAUAAAUGUACAGUGCCUUGCAAAAGUAUUCAUCCCACUUGGCAUUUUUCCUAUUUUGUUGCAUUACAACCUGUAAUUUAAAUGGAUUUUUAUUUCGAUUUCAUGUAACACAAAAUAGUCCAUAUUGGUGAAUUUCAAUGAAAAUAAUGACUUGUUUCAAAAAAUUCCUAAAAAUAAAAAACGGAAAAGUGGUGCAUGCAUAUGUGUUCACCCCCUUUAC